GACGAACGCUGGCGGCGUGCCUAAUACAUGCAAGUAGAACGCUGAAGGAGGAGCUUGCUUCUCUGGAUGAGUUGCGAACGGGUGAGUAACGCGUAGGUAACCUGCCUUGUAGCGGGGGAUAACUAUUGGAAACGAUAGCUAAUACCGCAUAACAGUAGAUAUCGCAUGAUAUCUACUUGAAAGGUGCACUUGCCUCACUACCAGAUGGACCUGCGUUGGAUUAGCUAGUUGGGGAGGUAACGGCUCACCAAGGCGACGAUACAUAGCCGACCUGAGAGGGUGAUCGGCCACACUGGGACUUAGACCCGGCCCAGACCCCUUAGGGAGGGAGCAGGAGGGAAUCAUCGGCAAUGGAGGGAAGGCUGAACGAGGCAAGACGGGGGAGGGGAGAAGGGCCUCGGGUCGUAAAGGUCUGUUGUUAGAGAAGAAAGAGCGUGAGAGUGGAAAGUUCACACUGUGACGGUAGCUAAACAGAAAGGGACGGCUAACUACGUG
rnacentral:rRNA from 1 species